rnacentral:lncRNA from 1 species
AUGUUAAUAAUUAUGUUGGUAUUUUCACACCCUUUUCAAUCAUUUGUCCCUUGCUCUUGUCUGUCCUCUCCCUCUCUCCUCCUGUCUGUCCUCUCCUCCUGUCUGUCCCCUCCCUCCCUCGCUCACUCCGUUCUGUCUCUCCUCCUGUCUGUCCUCUCUCCUCUCUCUCCUCUCUGUCUUCGCCUCCCCGUCUGUCUGUCCUCUCCUCCUGUCCCUCUCCCUCUCUCCUCCGCCUGUCUGUCCUCUCCCUCUCCCCUCCUGUCUGUCCUCUCCCUCCUCCCUCCUGUCUGUCCUCUCCCUGCCUGUCCUCCCUGUCUGUCCUCUCCUCCUGUCUCCUCCCCUCUCCUCCGCCUGUCUGUCCUCUCCCUCUCUCCUGUCCUGUCCUGUCCUCUCCCCUCUCUCCUCCUGUCUGUCCUCUCCCUCUCUCUCCCCUGUCUGUCCUCUCCCUCUCUCCUCCUGUCUGUCCUCUCCCCUCUCCGCUGUCGUCCUCUCCCUCUCCUGCCUGUCUGUCCUCUCCUCUCUUCCCGUCUGUCCGUCCCUCUCCCUCUCUCCCGCCUGUCUGUCCUCGCCCUCUCUCUCCCUCUCUCGCCUGUCUGUCCUCUCCCUCUCUCUGCCUGUCUGCGUCCUCCCCUCUCCCCCUCCUCCGCCUGUCUGUCCUCUCCUCUCCCUCUCUCUCCGCCUGUCUGUCCUCUCCCUCUCUCCUCCUGGUGUCCUCUCCCCUCUCCGUCGCCUCUCCUCUGCGCUUGCUCAUCUUCUGACCUCCCCUCAGGACACUGUUUCCAUGACGCCCAUGGUGACCCCCUCCCCGGCCUUCUCACCUCUCUCCUCCCUCUCUCUCACCCUUCUCUCCUCGUCCACCUGGACCUCUCCUUCAACCUCCUCUCCUCCUCCUCCCUCCCUGCCUCCUCACCCUCCCCCCCUCCUCUCCACCUCCUCCUGGGUCACAACCACCUCACUGAUCUCUCCCUCCUCCUUCGGUCCUCUCCCUGCCCUCCGCUACCUCUCUCCUCCUAG